GAUGAACGCUGGCGGCGUGCUUAACACAUGCAAGUCGAACGGAAAGGCCUCUGCUUGCAGGGGUACUCGAGUGGCGAACGGGUGAGUAACACGUGGGUGAUCUGCCCUGCACUUCGGGAUAAGCCUGGGAAACUGGGUCUAAUACCGGAUAGGACAAUGGUUUGGAUGCUGUUGUGGAAAGUUUUUCGGUGUGGGAUGAGCUCGCGGCCUAUCAGCUUGUUGGUGGGGUAAUGGCCUACCAAGGCGUCGACGGGUAGCCGGCCUGAGAGGGUGUACGGACACAUUGGGACUGAGAUACGGCCCAGACUCCUACGGGAGGCAGCAGUGGGGAAUAUUGCACAAUGGGCGCAAGCCUGAUGCAGCGACGCCGCGUGGGGGAUGACGGCCUUCGGGUUGUAAACUCCUUUCGCUAGGGACGAAGCGUUUUUGUGACGGUACCUGGAGAAGAAGCACCGGCUAACUACGUG
rnacentral:rRNA from 1 species